UACGGGGGGGGCAAGCGUUGUUCGGAAUUACUGGGCGUAAAGGGUUCGUAGGUGGCCAACUAAGUCAUACGUGAAAUCCCUCAGCUUAACUGGGGAACUGCGUCUGAUACUGGUUGGCUUGAGUGCAGGAGAGGAACGCGGAAUUCCAGGUGUAGCGGUGAAAUGCGUAGAUAUCUGGAGGAACACCGGUGGCGAAGGCGGCGUUCUGGACUGCAACUGACACUGAGGAACGAAAGCCAGGGGAGCAAACGGA
rnacentral:rRNA from 1 species